GUGUUCGAUUGAAGGAGAGAUGGUUGGCAUCUCUCCUGAUAGGAUCGGGAACAGCUUUCUGGCCUUCUGUUAACACAAAACACACACACACACAUUAUAAUCUUGUUU
rnacentral:ncRNA from 2 species